ensembl:lncRNA
GUUGCACUAGCGGCAUUGCAAGUGCUCAACAGGCAUGUAGGGCUGGGGGCCGUGCUGCUGGACGACACAGACAGAGAACAUUUCCAUCAUUACAGAAGCUUCUCCUGAACGCACAAAACACUAAAAGUAAUCAAAACUUUGGAAUUAUCACAAUGUUCUGAAGCUGCACCUGUAUUAUUAAGAAGAGUGAUUUAGAAAGAGAAAUAUCUAGAAUCGAAAAACAAUUCCUCCACUCUGGAUAAUCUUGAGCACAGCAGCUUUGUCUUACACAUUUAUUUAUCUUUCAUGGUUUACACAGGAUGUGGCACAUGCAUAAGUAUUUGUUAAAGGAAAGGACAGUGGAAUGAAUGCAUAAAGCCAUGAAAGCAUGAAAUGAAAUGAAUUCUCCUUCCUCCAAAGUAAUUUCAAAGGGGCAUUUAUAGCUGGAUAGUGAAGGAAGGAGCUGUAGAGAUCUCUGAAUCCAGCUCUUCCCUUUGACACAGAGGAGUCAAUGGUCAACAAGGUUCAGAAGUUCGCCCAAAGUCAUCAGGUGAGGUUGUCUUCCUUGCCUUCCCGAUUGUAGCUUUUUACCAGCGACCACUGGUGUUCAUUCCAUAUUUUAUGAUUUCCUGUCAACAACAACAAUAAAAAGGUUUCUGUAUGAUUAUUGAAUAUUUUUCUAGAGAGCUUGCUCUGGGACACAUGACUACUUCAGUUUCACAGCAAAGACAAAAUUCACAAGUAGUGUCACCUACUUUGAAAGAUAUUUUAGGGCCUAAGCUGCCACUGAGUUGCUCUUUGUAGCUAACCUAAGUCCCUCAUGCUAUACUUUGUCACUUUCUGAAAUUAAACAGCCAUUUUUCUGUGGGCGUUCUUAGGACUCUGCCUCCCUCUGCUGUGGCAGGUCCUGCACUUUGUUUAAGAUUCAAGGUUACGCUCAGGAGACAUGUUGGAUUUGCACCAGGCUGGAAGGCACACCAGAGACCAAGGAGCUUCAUGGCUUCAUUUGACGGUCACGGACACUUAGGGCCAGCCAGCGAAAGUGACUUCUUCAAAGUUGCAUCACGGUUCCUUGGCAGAGCUGGAACUCCAAUGAUCACAGGUACUCAAGCGACAAAGGCAAUGCCUUCGCAAAAGGGAACUUCGCCACUCACGAAGAAUACCUGUGUGUCCAGAUCAGGUACCCUCCUGAUGUCAAAACCACUCCUGAUUCUCAGCAUGCCAAAAGUUGAAUUUAGGGGAAAUCCUUCUCAGAAUUUUCUCCACCACCUUCUUGCCCACCUGAAACUCCUGCUCAUCCAACAAGAAGAUGGGAACACUUCUCCACAGUAUCCACUGAACCUCCUACUCCGGGCAAAAAUAAGUACCCUAUGGGGCCAGCCCAGGGGCAUAGCAGCUAAGUUCGAGCACACCAUUUCGGCAGCCCCAGGGUUCACCAGUUUGGAUCCCAGGCAUGGAUCUACGCACCGCUUCUCAAGCCAUGCUGUGGCAGGCGUCUCACAUAUAAAGUAGAGGAAGGUGGGCAUGGAUGUUAGCUCAGGGCCAGUCUUCCUCAUCAAAAAGAGGAGGAUUGGCAGCAGAUGUUAGCUCAGGGCUAAUCUUCCACAAAAAAAAGAAAAAUAAAAAUAAGUACCUGUAAGCCUUUCCUUUCUCUAUUUCACAUUUACCCAGGAUUCAUUUUCAAAAACAAAAUCUCAGAAAACAUUCUUCCCACUCUCCCCUUAACUUUUACUCUUUUAACAUAACUUUGGGGUUGUUUGAAGAUUGUUUUAAAUGUCUAUGUGAAUUGCCUGCAUGUUUAUUAAUAACUGUAUUCUCUGUUUGCUAAUACAGGUACACAUUUUACUAGUUUUCUUGCAUGAAAACAUCAGAAAAUGGCAUUGCCCUGGAAAUCCCGUGCCUUGACCACGUUCCCAUUUUAAUCCCGACGUCUUACAUUCUCUUUUCUGUAGCUGGAGGACCAGAGUGAGGGCCUCGUGGGGUCCGGGCUCUCAGUAUUUUGUGGGGGAGAAAGGACAACGGGGCAGCCUGUCCGUAGAUAUCACCAAAGACCUAAGCACAGUUUUUGAGGAGGAACAAAGACACCGUCCAAUCUGUUUGCACACACACACCUAGGGCAUUCAUAUGGCAGCCCUUAUGCACUGAGAGGAGAACUGAGACACGGAACCUGUAGUAGGUAGAGGACAAGGAGAGGGAGAAGGAAUAAAUCCAACUGCUCCUGCACACUUCCCCAGACGAGACCCGGGACGAGACGGGGUAAUGUCACCUCAGACCUAAACCAUUAAGCUACAUCGUGCCUCAAAGAAGCAGAAACUCAGACCAAGAUUCCUCCCUCUCUGCCCUCCCCUGGAUGGGCCCCUGUGAAAUCAAGGGACUGGCUUGGGAAGGACUUUGCACACUGACCUCAGAAAUUCUUUUUAGGGGAAUGUGAUCCCUUUUAUUAUACAGGGAGAUAUAAAACUGCGUAUGAAUUGGCAAUUUUAUUGCCUGAUUUGAACAUUACAUUUUAUUAGCAUAGUGGGUGUUUUUUUGUCAUACUCAUUACCUACUGCCCACAGUGAGGAUGGGAGCUCCGUUCUGGCUUGCACGGGAAGGAGAUUCAGAGCAGAGUGCCGGGGAGCGCCCUGCACAAUUGCACUGUUCUCUGAAAGCCUGUCCCAUCUUGUGGGUGGCUGUUAUUUGCCUCUGCAUCUAACUCUGCAGGCCCUGCAGGAAGCAGCGGGCUCCUUGAGGGCGGGGCCCGCUUCCAACCUCCCUCUCUAUCUGGCACGCUGCUGGGCAUACAGUCCUUGCUCAAUAACUCUCUGGAUCCACCCCUGUUCCUUUGGAUUCUGGUUGCAGUGUUCUCCCCUCUGCCCUGUGCUGCCCUUAGCCAUAACAUCAGGCUUAGUGCGCUUUUCCCAAAGCUUGCGGCCCUCCUCGUUCACCACAUCCUGCAUCCCCUAUGUCCAGAGCAAUUGCUUUGUGCCCACGGAUGGCUUUGCUGAGGCAGCGCUCCCUGGAGAGGCCAGGCUCCUAUCUGCGGCCCGUGAGCAGGGGUUUGGCAGGCCGAGGUCCAUCCUGGCACAACUGAUUUCUGCGUGAUCAGCCCAGGACAUCAGUUAGCAGGCAGGUUGGGAAAGGAUGUAAAAUGAAUGGUCCCUGAUAACUCGAUCAGGAGCUGGAGCCAGAGAUCAUAGAGAAAUUUAUCACCAGAAGUGACAGCACCAGGCCCUAGCAAGAGCUUCCCCAGGAUCUGGCUCCUGUGCUGAGGGUUUCUGUCAGAUACCCUAGCCCAUGCAAGAAAGAGAUCAGGGUUAAAGAAGGUGGGGGAGUGAUCCUGAGUUAUGGGGGAAUGAGCCUGAAACGAGGCUGGUCCGGGCUCAGGUCUGAGCCCUCCACUUAGCAGGUGGGCCUUGAGGAAGUUGCUUAAGGUCUCCGAGCCUCAGUUUCUUCAUCCGUGCAAUGGGUAUAAUGCCACCUCCCUUUGUGAGGGGUCCACAAAUUAGUAGAGAUCCGCACGUGGAAGGUGCUCGAUAAAUAAUCUGUCGAAUGAGUUACCGAAUACCAAUCACCUUUCUCAGUGCCUGGCCCACCACCGAUGCUUUUAAUGAAUGAAUGAGUAUCAAUUUGCUAUCAUAGUGCACGGCAUUUAGUCUGUUGUUGAAAAUAAAGUUAGGUCUCUCCCCCACCAAGAUUUUACCCCCUCCAACCUGUUUUCCUUCACGAUUUGUAAAUGCUGGCCCAGAGAGGUGAGACAACCUUGUCAAGGUCACAGAGCGACUGUGAAUCAGAGCCCCUUUCCUGCUCCCAUGCUCGGCCCCGUAGAGCUCCGGCUGGCCCGCCGUCCACACUGCUUCCAGAGUCCAGAAUACCGCAGACCAGUUGCCUCCCGACCUCUGCCCAGGAGGACUUCCGUGCCCAUUGAGGUAACACUGACCCAGGGCCUCUAAUCCCGCUUCUGCUAGCCUACCUCCCCUCUUCCUAUCUGUGAUGGUUAAUUUUAUGUGUCAGCUUGGUUAUGCCAUGGGACCGAGAUAUUUGGUCAAACGUUGUUCUAGAUGUUUCCAUGAAGGUUGCUUUCAGAUGAGAUUAAUAUUUAAAUCAAUAGACUUUGAGUAAAGCAGUUGACCCUCCAUAAUGUAGGUGGGCCUUGUCCAAUCAGUUGAAGGUCUUAAUAGAAAAACAUAGACCUUCCCCAAGGAAGGAGGAAUCCUGCUGGCAGGCUGCCUUUAGACUCAAACUGCAACAGCAACUCUUCCCUGGGUCUCCAGGCUGCCAGCGUACCCUGCAGGUUUUGGACUUACGAAUGUAUAUCAUAUACACACACGGACAUACCCAUCCUAUUGGUUCUGUUUCUCUGGAGAACUCUGACUAAUACACUAUCCUUCUUGGUAGUUUAUUUUCCAGCUACUAGCUGCUACUUACCGUGUCUCCAAAGCACCAGGAUGGCUGUCACCUUGGCUUCUUUGCACAGACAUCUGUUUCUGCCUGGAACUCUGUCACUGCUUACUGUCUGGCCCACUGCCUUAAACUCAGCUUACCCAGACUCCUCCUUUGACCAGGGCCUAUCUAGCUGCAUAGCGCUGCCUGCCGUGUAGCUGUUCCUUCAUGGGGCUCCUGUUUUCCUGUCUAUGUAAUUUACGACCUUGUAUUGAAUUUGCACAUCUGUUGUCUCUCUCCUCACCUGGGACCACUGAAGGCAGGGCCUUGCUUAUGCAUCUCAGGCAUCUUAACCUAAGUUAACAAAGUUGUGUUGAAAACAAGGAAGGAAAGAAAGAAGAAAAGAGGGAAGGAAGGAGGGAAGGAGAGGGGAAGGGAGAGAGAGAGGAAAAGGAGGAAAGAUGGAAACAGGGAACCAGGAUGGGCAAAACCAAACAAAGUAACAACUCCCACUGAUGGGGACCGCCACAGGAGCAGAGGCACCCACUGAAAGAGCUCCCAAUAACCAAGCUGGAAGAAUUUGAGCAACAAAAUUAAGUGGUAUUGGAUUAAAACCCAAAUGAUAAAAUAAAUAUUCAGAGUAUACGUCCAUAUAAAUAAAUAAUUGAAUAAAUUAAUAAGUGGUGGGCACUUUUCAAAUGAUUUACAUAGAUAUACCACCAUCAAAGAGGGAACACGUAACUCACCCCGCCUCAGGUGUCAGCUGCACAUAGUGACUGUCCCCCAGAGAGUGCAGAAUAGAAAGGGGGAAAAAGCACAACUUUAUGGUGGAGAAACCUGAGGAGCAUGACCUCAGCCAGGUGGUCAAGGGGAAACACCCACAGUCAUAAAUCAUGUUGAUUGUCUACACCCUUGAUAGAGGAUGACAAUGGUUCUUCAUCUCUUCCUCCUCAAAACCCACAACCCUGGUCUAAUCACGAGAAAAACAUCAGAUACAUUCCAGAGGUGGGGCAUCCUACAAAACAUCCUCAAAACUGUCAACGUCAUCAAAAACAAGGAAAGUCUGAGAAGCAGCCUAGAGGAGCUUUAGGAGGCAAGACAACUAAUUAUAAUAUGAUAUCCUGGAUGGGAUCCUGGACGAGAAAAAGGACAUUGGGCAGAAACUAAGAAAACCUAAUUGAACCAUGGACUUUAGUGGACAAUGAGGUAUCAAUAUCAGCUCAUUGAUUGUAACCUAAGUGUCAUAGUAAGGUAAAAUGUUAGUAGUAAGAGGGGAAACUGGACGUGGAAUAUAUGGGAGCACUCUCUGCUAUCCUCUCAAUUUUUCUGUAAAUCUAAAACUGUUUUAAAAAAAUAAAGUCUAUUAAAAGAAAUAAGAAAAAUGGGAAAGUUAUUAAACAUCAACCAAUCUGAUUUAUCGUAACCUUAUUUGGAUCCUGAUUCACAAAAAAACAAAGAGAAAACUGGGACUCAAACCCUAGACUAAGCGUUCGAGUGAGAUUAUGUUGAUCGUCUGUGACUCUGUGGAAGUAUUUUUGUUCUUUUUUCUUAUAGUGAUUUCCCUUCUCCCAGAAGAACAUCCCUAGAGAUUAGUUGAAGCAGCAAGCCACAGUCCAGCCUUAAUCUUCCAGGAUUGGCUGAGUUACUUCACAGCAAUUCGUCUCCCUCCACUCCAAGCCCAGCCCACGGCAGUAAUUUGCAUUCUAAAGGAGGAAGUCAACUAACAGGAUUCAGAUAAGGAUGGUCAAUAGGUACUGGCUUCCCUCAGGGCCACCUCAGGCCAGGGGGUGUCUGCUCUCUAGCCCCACCUACCGGACCUUGUCUAAAUCACCUGAAUAAAUGCAACUGCCUGGCAAGACCCAAUGCCAGGCACGGAGGGGAAAGAAACAAGACUCAUCAGAUCAGGGAAUAUUGGGAUCGGAGGGAAACUUUAAGAUGAAUCUCUUCUUUAAUUGAAAGGAAAACCAAGUGUUAGAUGCAUUGGACAUUUACUACGCAUCGAGCCACUUUGACCAGAGUUCGAACCCUGCUCCUGCCACUGCGUGGUCAUGGAACUCAAUGUGUUCAGAUUGUCAAUUCAAUCCAACUUCAUUUCACUUACUUCAAUUAAGGAAUAUUUGUUAAGAAAUGACCGUGUUCCUAGUGCAAUACUAAGGAAUAUGAAGAUAAAUAAGACCCAGUACAUGCCUUCCAAGAGCCUGAACCACGUUUAGAGAAAGAAGAAACAUAUUUGAAAAGCCUCUGAUUCAGUAUUUGGACACGUGUUACUGAUCCGCGGAGAGCCCUCACGAAGGGGUGAUGACGUCUAUUAUGUAGUGAUUUUCAUGGCAACCUUGUGAACUGGUGAUUUUUACAGAUGAGGCAGCUGAGGCUCAGAUAAGGUAACUGACUGGUUCGAGAUUGCUCAGCACAGACAGACGAGAGGAUGGAGCUUGAAUCCACAUCUGCUUCCCCGAGCCCACUCUGUGCUUGGAUUUCCCCAGGGCCCCUACCCCACACCUGCCUGGCCCUGCCCACCUCUUACCUCCCAGCAUUCGAUUGUGUCUGUAUGUGAAAGCUCAGCCCUUGGUGACCCUUCCUAUUAAGGCUCCUGGAAGAAGACGGGCGUGCUGGGUCAGUUAUGAUAAUAGCUGAGGACAAUGGCAUCAGGAUUCACAUGAAGAAGGCUUUCUUUCUCCAUGACCAGCAACACCCUAGUUACGGUUUAUAUGCAACAUCUAUUUCUAGAAAGAAAACCUGAAGCGAGCCUCAGCAUUGCCACAAAUAACCGAGGUUGCUGUAAGAACACAUCUCAAUUUAUUUAUUUAUUUUUAAUUUUUUAAGAUUGGCCCUGAGCUAACAUCUGUUGCCAAUCUUUGUUUUCCUUCUUUUCCCCAAAGCCCCCCAGUACAUAGUUAUAUAUUCUAGGUGUAGGUCCUUCUGGUUCUGCUAUGUGGGACACUGCCUCAGCAUGGCUUGAUGAGCAGUGCCAUGUCCGUGCCCAGAAUCGGAAUGAGUGAAACCCCGGGCUGCCAAAGUAGAGCGAGAGAUCUUAAUCACUUGGCCACGGGGCCAGUUCCACAGCUCAAUUUAAAUUAAUAAAUCCACUUGGAAAGAUACUUUUCUGUCUCAGUCUUCUCUGCAUCAUUAGUGCCUGGAAGAGGGCUUCCUAUGGAGUAGGUGCACAAUAUGUUACUGUGUGAUGAUAAAUAUUUCUAUUCUUUCUGGG